GUAACAAGGUCUCCGUUGGUGAACCAGCGGAGGGAUCAUUACCGAGUUUACAACUCCCAAACCCCUGUGAACAUACCAAUUGUUGCCUCGGCGGAUCAGCCCGCUCCCGGUAAAACGGGACGGCCCGCCAGAGGACCCCUAAACUCUGUUUCUAUAUGUAACUUCUGAGUAAAACCAUAAAUAAAUCAAAACUUUCAACAACGGAUCUCUUGGUUCUGGCAUCGAUGAAGAACGCAGCAAAAUGCGAUAAGUAAUGUGAAUUGCAGAAUUCAGUGAAUCAUCGAAUCUUUGAACGCACAUUGCGCCCGCCAGUAUUCUGGCGGGCAUGCCUGUUCGAGCGUCAUUUCAACCCUCAAGCCCAGCUUGGUGUUGGGACUCGCGAGUUAAAUCGCGUUCCCCAAAUUGAUUGGCGGUCACGUCGAGCUUCCAUAGCGUAGUAGUAAAACCCUCGUUACUGGUAAUCGUCGCGGCCACGCCGUUAAACCCCAACUUCUGAAUGUUGACCUCGGAUCAGGUAGGAAUACCCGCUGAACUUAAGCAUAUCAAUA
rnacentral:rRNA from 1 species